UUACGGCCAUAUCACGUUGAACACACCGGUUCUCGUCCGAUCACCGAAGUUAAGCAACGUCGAGCCUGGUCAGUACUUAGAUGGAUGACCUCUUGGGAAUACCAGGUGCUGUAA
rnacentral:rRNA from 1 species